UACAGAGGGUGCAAGCGUUGUUCGGAAUUACUGGGCGUAAAGCGUACGUAGGCGGCUUUGUAAGUUAGAGGUGAAAGCCUGGAGCUCAACUCCAGAAUUGCCUUUAAGACUGCAUCGCUUGAAUCCAGGAGAGGUGAGUGGAAUUCCGAGUGUAGAGGUGAAAUUCGUAGAUAUUGGGAAGAACACCGGUGGCGAAGGCGGCCAUCUGGACCGCAACUGACGCUGAGGCGCGAAAGCGUGGGGAGCAAACAGGG
rnacentral:rRNA from 1 species